GCCAACAGCCAAGAACAAUGGAUUGAGGAAAAAGUGAACAUAUUAGAAAAUUCAUAAACAAGAUCAUUUCAAAUGGCAAGAAAAAAAAAAAGAACAAGGUAAUGCGAUGGUCAUUUAGCGGGGUGUGGUGGAGGAGCGAGCAGAAGCAGGCCCCAGCCAAGUAAUAGUCCCUCCCUCCAGACCUAGGGAAACUGGCAGCAUGUGUACAGCUGGCUUUUAGAACUGCUAAGGACCCAUGCCUGCUCCAUGCCUUUAAUGUCCUCCGCCUGAGAACGGGAGCAUCUGCUGCUACCUUAUCCCUCUCUCACCACUUCAUGUGGGCUUAGGGGAGGUGGGUUGGUGAUGGUGGCAGAUAACUUGAAUUUUUAGUUCACAGGUUUCCAGACUGAGAAAAGCCACACCCAAGCAACCUCAUCCACAUCCAGACCUGAUCCAAAUGAUGAUAUUCUGGGCACUGAGCAGCUGCCAUACUGGGUCUUGAGAUCAUCCUGCAUGGACCCCAUCGCUGGUGAGGGCUUUUCUGCCCCUGAAAUCCUUUUAAGCCUGGGGAAAAGAGAGUAAGGAGAAAGUGGAAUGCGAAAGCAGCAAUCAGCUGGAAAUUCUGUCAGGACCUGAAGGAGUGAAACCGCCUCCCAAGAUGCGAAGACCUUGAGGAGACACCGCUGCGCCGGAGAACACGCAGGACUUCAGGGAUCCGGCUGCAGCCCUCAAGGACAGUGCCAGGAAGGAGAAAAAUAUCAGGACCCUGUGUGCAGGAGAAGGAGGCCCAAGGGAGAAAAAGGAAAGUCCUAGAUGUCCAUCUGAGGGAGACCCUGGACUG